rnacentral:rRNA from 1 species
CACCAAUGGAUGGUACUGCUCUGGCUGGGGUUCACUUUCUGGUGAGCCGGUAUGCUCUUCACUGGGUGUGCCGAGGAACCAGGACUUUUACUUUGAAAAAAUUAGAGUGUUUAAAGCAGGCCUAUGCUUGAAUACAUUAGCAUGGAAUAAUAGAAUAGGACUUUGGUUCUAUUUUGUUGGUUUCUAGGACCGAAGUAAUGAUUAAUAGGGAUAGUUGGGGGCAUUAGUAUUUAGUAGCUAGAGGUGAAAUUCUUGGAUUUAUGAAAGACUAACUUCUGCGAAAGCAUUUGCCAAGGAUGUUUUCAUUAAUCAAGAACGAAAGUUAGGGGAUCGAAGACGAUCAGAUACCGUCGUAGUCUUAACCAUAAACUAUGCCGACUAGGGAUCAGACGAUGUUACUUUACUGACUCGUUUGGCACCUUAUGAGAAAUCAAAGUUUUUGGGUUCCGGGGGGAGUAUGGUCGCAAGGCUGAAACUUAAAGGAAUUGACGGAAGGGCACCACCAGGAGUGGAGCCUGCGGCUUAAUUUGACUCAACACGGGGAAACUCACCAGGUCCAGACAUAGUAAGGAUUGACAGAUUGAGAGCUCUUUCUUGAUUCUAUGGGUGGUGGUGCAUGGCCGUUCUUAGUUGGUGGAGUGAUUUGUCUGCUUAAUUGCGUUAACGAACGAGACCUUAACCUGCUAAAUAGUUAUGCCAACUUUUGUUGGUAGUCAACUUCUUAGAGGGACUGUCGGCGAUUAGCCGAUGGAAGUUUUAGGCAAUAACAGGUCUGUUAUGCCCUUAGAUGUCCUGGGCCGCACGCGCGCUACACUGAUGA